rnacentral:rRNA from 1 species
UACGUAGGGUGCGAGCGUUAAUCGGAAUUACUGGGCGUAAAGCGUGCGCAGGCGGUUUUGUAAGCCAGAUGUGAAAUCCCCGGGCUUAACCUGGGAAUGGCAUUUGGGACUGCAAGGCUGGAGUGUGGCAGAGGAGACUGGAAUUCCCGGUGUAGCAGUGAAAUGCGCAGAUAUCAGGAGGAACACCCGUAGCGAAGGCGGCACUCUGGGCCGAUACUGACACUGAGGAGCGAAAGCGUGGGGAGCGAACAGG